UGGUACCUUACGUGUCUUGAAAAAGGUGUCUUCAAUUAUGUACCUGGCUUCGUGUUUCAACCUUAUUCCUCCACCGCUCUCUGAUCCUAAAUCCUAACAGUAGGAGCUCUAUUUUGAUCACCGAAAAUCUUCUUGUUUCCCCCUUCAUCUCAGAUGUCAAUUUGAAGUUACCAUUCACGAUGAUACUCAUUUGGCGACAAUAACAAUUUCAGACAAAAUUGGAGAUGAACUGCUAUCUCUCACAGCGUAGAAAUUUAUGAUAUACGUUGCACCAAGACACUCAUUACCCCAAUAAAAAAGGUUCCGCAAAAUAUUAGUGAUUGCCAUCGUGUCAAUCACCAAUAAAGAUAUCGCUAGAAAUCAAUGAUUGUCGCUCACUGCACCAGCUACCCCUGAAAGCAGCAAAUGUAAGCUGAAACAGAUUAUGACAAAGUAAGACUGAAAGGUACUUCUUGGCAAGAGCUGACCAGCAUGGGAGGACAAUCAAAGUGUGACAUUAUGUAAAUACUACAAGAGUAAAUUUUCUUAUGUAAAUAACGCAGCCACAAACCAUUGUCAACCAUAUAUAUAAUAAUUAUGUAUAUACCUGCAAACGAUUUCAAUGUGCAAGUGUGCAUGCGCAUUUAGAGCACGGUCUUCUCUGCCUAGUACUUCAUAUACAAGGACUAAGGAGUAAUAAAGUUUAAGUGAAGUAAUAUUGGGUAACCAAAGUUACUCGUUUCUAAUACUUGUUUUA